rnacentral:rRNA from 1 species
GACGAACGCUGGCGGCGCGCCUAAUACAUGCAAGUCGAACGAGAGCGACCGGUGCUUGCACUGGUCAAUCUAGUGGCGAACGGGUGAGUAACACGUGGGUAACCUGCCCAUCAGAGGGGGAUAACAUCCGGAAACGGAUGCUAAAACCGCAUAGGUCUUCGAACCGCAUGGUUUGAAGAGGAAAAGAGGCGCAAGCUUCUGCUGAUGGAUGGACCCGCGGUGCAUUAGCUAGUUGGUGAGGUAACGGCUCACCAAGGCCGUGAUGCAUAGCCGACCUGAGAGGGUGAUCGGCCACAUUGAGACUGAGACACGGCCCAAACUCCUACGGGAGGCAGCAGUAGGGAAUCUUCCGCAAUGGACGCAAGUCUGACGGAGCAACGCCGCGUGAGUGAAGAAGGUUUUCGGAUCGUAAAACUCUGUUGUUAGAGAAGAACAAGUGCUAGAGUAACUGUUAGCGCCUUGACGGUAUCUAACCAGAAAGCCACGGCUAACUACGUG